UUGUGAAGAGUAGGAUUUGCAUUUAUAUACUAUCAUACUAAUGCUAUUAUUAUGGGGUAAUGGUAAGUGGGUUGGCCGGUUGAGUCAUGUAGAUGUAAUGGGAGGGGGGAGAUUUUCUUUUGCGCUAGAUAGAAAAGUAGUGUAAAUCCCAAUAAUCAAUUCAAUUGGGAUUUUUUUUUAGCGGGUAAUCGGUUCGGUUCGAUUUUGGUUCGACGGAAUAAAUACCAUACCCGCACCGCCACGAACCGGUUCAUUAAAAUAAAAACCGUAUCCGUCCCAUUGCACCAUCGAUUCGGUUUUUUUCACCCCAUUCGGUUCGAUUAACCGCGAUUUUCGAUUUUGAUGGUUCAAAUUGCCAUCUCUACUAGAAAUCCGAAUUCUUUUAACCUAUCGAAAUAAGAUCUAGCAAUGAGCAUAUAAUUUCUUAUUCUUCGAAGGUACUAAAAGAUAUGCUUUAUCACCAUCUAAUAUUUUGACCCUAAGGUUAAAUAGAUCUCGACUCACCACACCAACAGUAUGACAAAUUUUAGGUCUAUUGCACUGCAUAGCAUACAUGGGACUACCUAUUGCCAACGCAUAAGGUAUCAUACUCAUGUACUCAAUCUCUUAGAAGUCUUCAUGGACUGAUCCUUAAAGAGUUUGAUUCAAUGCCUGAGGCAAAAUCUUGCAUAGAAAAUCUUACAAGUAUCUUGUCAACAUAUAAGACUUGGGAAAAAAAGCUUUCAUCUUGUUCUUUCAAUCUCUCAAGAUUUGAAACCUAGAACAUAGCUAACUUCAUUAAGUUCUUCAUAUAAAACUAUUGAGCCAAUCAUGCUUUCGUAGACAAUAAUGCACCCACAUUAUUUCAAAUGAAUAGAAUAUCAUCUACAUGAGCAUCAGGAAAAAUACAAUUUUGUCUUGUAUUAUAUUAUGAUAUAGGACUCAUCAAAGUUCUUAUUAAAACCAAAUAUCUUAAACAUUGUGUCGAAUCUUUAUUCUAGGAUCUUGAUAUCUGGUUCGAUUAUAUAUAGAUCAUCACUACAUCUACAAAAUCCAUAAUCUCCUUAUAUGAAGUUAGAUCAUUAAUUUGUGCCAUGGAGAUCACUAGAUUGGAUACUCCACUCAACAAAUACCUUGAAGGUGAACUGAAAAUCAUCUGACUUUUGAUCUAGGAUUGUGGCAUCAUUUGGAAUGUAAUAUUUUUAUCAAUGUUGGCAUUACCACUAGGUGACACCAUUAUCUCCUCAUUACAUUCAACAUCUAUUGAUCUAUUAGAUCAAAUGACUCAUUGUUCCCAAUCAGAUCACAUUGCCAAAUAUAUUUGAUACCAUGGGAUGUUUGUCUCAGGUUGUGUUCCAGGAAUUCAUAAGGUGAAAUUGCUCCCUCUUAUUUUUUCCAACACAACCUUAUUAUUGCACUGACGAUCAUUAAUAUAAUAAUUCUCUAGGAAGGUGUACUUGUGCUUUAAAAAAAAACUUUCCUCUCUAGAAGACUAUAAAAAUGUACGAUUGGUAUCUUUAGGAUAUCCUACAAAUAGGCACAUUUCUGAUUUAGACUCCAAUUUUUCUGCCUUCUCUUUUAACACGAGUUGUAUCCCCAAGUUUUGGAUGUGAUGCAAGCAAAACGUGAAACUUAUUCCAAGAUUUCAGGAAAAUCUUAAGAUAGACUUAGCAGGAACCAAGUUAAGAAUAUAUCCAACUUUUUUAACGUAUAUUCAAAAAUGAGAUAGGUAGAGUUGUGAAACUCUUCAUUGAUCUAACCAUAUCUAACAAUGUCAUGUUUCUUCUUUCAGAAACGCCAUUCUGUUUAUGUAUACCAGGCUUAUUCAAUUAAGAAACAGUGUCAUUUUCUGGUAAAUUGUCCUUAAAUUCUCCCUAGAGGUAUUCACGACAUCAAUCAGAACGAAAUGUGUUAAUACUCGUACCCAAAUAUUUUUCGACAUUAGUCUUAUACUCUUUUGAUUUUUCGAAAGUAAUUGACUUUCAAGCCAUCAGGUAAAUGUAUUCGAAUAUAGAGUAAUAAUCUAUAGAGAAAUAAUCAUAGUUUCCCUUCUCAAGUAUAUUCAUAGGUCUACAUAUAUCAGAAUACACUAGUUCCAAUAAUUUUGGCGUUAUUCUUUUGUUGAAAAAGGAUAUAUUGGUUAUAUUGCCUCUAUAGGAUGAUCUUGAUUUGAGUGUAUAACCUUUGUCUAGACCUGUAGAUACUUGAAAAUAAUUUCGUCAUCUAUAAGAUGAUUACAAAUUAUAUUCUUAUCUAGACUAUCUUACCGUAAAGGAAUCCAAUUAAUCAAAUUGAAUUACACGGUCCUCCUAUAAGAAGUCUAUUGCAUUACUCGCACAAGACAAGCAUGCCACUUUACUUAUGGAUUGACCAAAGGAAACCAUUGGUUUUUAUUUAAAUAAACACUCGUUCUUACUCAAUAUUUUAAAGUAAUGGACUUUAAUUGAAAUAAUUAUCAAUUAUUCACAUCAAUCAAAUUAAUAUACAGUUUAUUUGUUGUGAUUUUUCAAUCUAGAAAUAUUUAAUCAAAAUUAAAUUAAUCAAGAAAUAUUAAAAUAAUUAUCAACUAUUCACAUUAAUCAAAUAAAUAUACAGUUUAACUAUUACGAAUUAUCCUUCCAAAAAAAUUUAAUCGAAAUUAAAUUAAUCAAAAAAAUUUAUGUUCAAUAACAUGCAUCAUAUUCAUAGUAUAACGAGUGAUAUUACAAUUAAUUCAAUGUGUCAUGACAUCUAGAACGAUAAUAUUUCAAACAAUAAUUUAAAACAUUGAUAAAGCGAUAAAUUAACAUUUAUUUGUGGCCCAAAAAAGACUCAAGAAAUAAAUCAAAAACUAACUGGACUCAAUUCCAAUAUUUAAUCUAAAUCUUUAGCCCAAAAUUUUCAAGGAUCUAAUAGUAGCACUCCAAAAAAUAGCGAAAGACUUUGCCACCAUACCUAUAAAAUUAUUUUCGAAAUCUACUUUUUCAUAUUCAAUCCGAUACCUAAAAAAAGAACCCGAGCAAAAAAUUACAAAUCAAAAUUUGUUUGCACGUCCAAACAGAAAUUUUUUUGCACGACAGACAGUUCAUCUAUCUAAUUAAGUUUUUAUAAAUAAAAUCUUAUUUUUUGUCGUCCAAUAGCCAAUCUUUAAUCAAUUUACAAGAUACAAAAAUUUGUAAUAAUUAAUAAAACCUAUGUCAUGUAGGUUCGCAAAUUUUAAUCUAAUUGAACAGAAAAUUAAAUCAAGACGAUGAAGUCGUAAUCCACCUAUCUUAUUACCUAGUCGAAAUAAUGAAUUACAAUCAAGAAGACCACAAAUAAUAGGUUCACGGUUUAAAAUAAUCUUAUUAUUCAAUCAACAUUUAACAAAAUAUUUCUAGACAUCGCUCAAUUAGAACAUACAAUUAAGAUUCAAAAAUAACAAACUUGUAAACUGUCUAAAUUGCUCUGAUACCAGUUGUUGGAAUGCAGGAGAGAAAUUAUUCAAAAAUUAAAAAAUGAUUUGAUGUUCACUGUACAGUAUAUCGAGAAUAAGGGAUUUGAAUUUUUACUUAAAUUCUUUGGUCAAUUCUUGAAUUAAUUUUGAAUGACAAACUCCCAGCUUCUUUAGAUCAUGAAUUUCCAGUUUUUUAAUUCCAAGAACUUAAUGCUUCGAACUCUCAUGUCUUCUAUGGUAUUCUCCAAAGUCAAGACUAUACCGUUGGGUGAGCACCUUCUUUUAAUUAAAUCAAGAACCUAAUUCUUGAUAUGGACAAUUGACAAAACCAAGAAAAAUAAUUUUCUCUCUCUUCAAAAUUGGAACACUAUGGAAUUAUGUAAUAUGAUUACUGUACAAUCCCAUAGGAUGUCUAGUUUCAUCUAAUCUCCAUUUAUAGAGAUAAAAUAGUUACAAUCCUAAUAGAAUAAGAAUUUUACAUUCAAAUAAGAGUUCUAAUUAAAAUUCAAGUAGGAAUUUUAAUUAAAGUCCAAAUUCAAUUAGUUUACAUUUAAUUAUACGUAUAAUCCUAGAAUUUCAAUUAUAAUUAUAAUUAAGUUUACAACUUUCAUAUUAAUUACAACUAAGUAUAAAACUUUAUUGUAAUUACAAUUAAGCCCAAAACUAUUAUAAUUACCAUAACCAAAUUUGAUAUGAUCCAAGAGUCGAGUCCGACGAAGGCGAGUGCGAGACGAGACCCAUUGAUAGUCGAUGGCGGACCAAUGACGCGAUCAAGGGCAAAGCAAGUGAAACAAGCAAUGGGAUUGCUCGUUCAAGAAACCAUUGAUGGAACCAUGUUCGGGACUCAAAAUGGAGCAACUUUCAUAUUCGGGUCGAAGGUCGAAUCAACUUGGAUCAAUUUCUUAUCAAGCAAUGAAACCGAAGGCUGAAAACAAGCCUGUGCGACCGUACCGCUAAAAUACCAUGCGGCCGCAUGGAGGCAUGCUGAAACUCAAGAUGAAUUUUUGGUUGAACCAUGCGACCGCAUGAAAAUACGCUAUGUGGCCGCAUGGACCAAAAAUUUGGCGAAUUUUCCAAUUUUGGAAAUUUUCCAUAUUUUGUUAGAUUUUGAUUAUUUUCCAUAUUUUGGGAAUUAUGAUCGACUUUUGCACAAUUUUUACCUAAUUUUUAGGUUUAGUAUAAAUAGGAGUUUCCAUUCAAUUGUUAAAAAACUUUUGACAUUAUUGAUAUUGAAUUAAAAGUGAGACGUAUUGUCUUCUCUUCAUCGUUCUUUAUUGAACAAUUUCGAACUUAUCAAGUGUUAACAUGUGGCGUUCAAACAACCGGAUUUAAUUCUUGGAUUGCGUGAUCAAGGGAUCUUUCAAGCGUUGUUCUUGUUGGGUUUUUUGGUUCGACUUUCUUUUGGGUUAAUUCUAAACUCUUGGAUUAAUUUGGCUUUCUUGGGUUCAUCAAUCUCGUUGUGGGUUUCGUAGUCAACGUUACUACGGGGUUCGCAUCAAAAUUCCAAUACUAGAGUAGAGAGAAAGACAAUUGUGUGGUGAGAGAGAGAGAGAGAGAGAGAGAGAGAGAGAGAGAGAGGUAAAUUGACGAAUAGAGUAGAGAGAGAAAAUAAGGUAAUUAUCGUUAUUUUGUUAUCUUUAAUUUAGAAAUUAAUUACUAAAUAUAUAAACCAAAUUAAUUUAGUAAUUAAUUUCUAUAACAAUAUAUAUAUAUAUAUAUAUAUAUAUAUAUAUAAAUUUUAAAAUAAAUUUUAGCCCCUAUUUGACAUACUUGGUUUCAAAACUCUUUUCUUUUCUAUAUAUGCAUUUUUAAUCACACAUUUAUGCAAUAAAAUAUUUUGUGUUAUAAAUUAGAAAGAAAAGAAAUGAAAUUAGAAAAGUCAAUAUAAUUACGUGUUUUAUUAAGAAUCAAAAUCUCAUAUUUAUAUGGAAGGUUUAGGACUACGUACAUAUAACAGUUAUAAUGAUUAAGAUUGUAGGAUAUAAAAAUCAUUCAUAAAUAUUACUAUAUUGGCAACACUUCUCCUUGAAUGAUCAUUUACAAAAUAACUAUCUUAUUGAAACAUUAUUUUGAAAAAAAGUUCGAUGGAAUAAAAAUGUCAACAAAUGAAAAAAGUGUAAAAAUAAUUUAGAAUAAUAAAACACUACUUCGUUAAAACCUUAACAAGAAAAUCCAGUGGGAGAAAACUUGAUCGAAGAAAAAAGAGUACACCUACUCUUCUUGAUUCAAAUCUUGUAUCAAGCUAUCCAUGUAUUGUAUGUCAAUGUUUUCAAUAUUGAUAUCUUAUACGUCAAUGUCUUCAAAUAACAUCUUCAUUCAAAAUUUUUAUCGACCUUUAAUGACUGUAGUAACAUUAUGAUUUGAAAAUAGCUUUUGUUGAUCUUUUUGGAAGUCUCAUAAUGUAGGAGUAUUUUUUUGAAGGUAAAUGUGUUGUAUGUUAUAGAUAUUUAUCAUACAAAGAAUAUCUCUCGUUAAAACUAUAUUGGAAAAAUCCUGUGGAAAAAAUCUUGAUGAGGGGAAAAGAAUAUAUUAUUCUUUUAAAUAAGUCACAAAAGUUAUUUCAUUAAAAAUCUUGCAAAAAAAAUACAAUGGGACAAAACCUUAUUCAAGGGGAAAAGAAAACAACAUAUAUUUACUCCUUCUCAUAAUAAUAUUACUUGAAUUAUACUUCAAAUAUAUUAAAUCUUGUGGGAAUAACAUUAAAAAUCAUGUCAGAUGAGUUGAUUAUCACGUAUUUCAAAUUUCAAGCAUCGUUAAGAUAACAUGAUAUGGACUCGUGAUUUCAUCUACCACGAUCUUUUGCGAAAUUCACUAUAUUGAGGGUCGUGCAUUACAUAAUACAACUUUAUUUUUCUUAUUUUCUUUUGGCGUAAGUGUACACAUUUAUUUGACCAAUCAUGUAUUCGAUCAAUAUGCGUCAACAAAUUUAUUUCAAUAUCCUCACUAUGCAUACUAUGAAGUGGUACAUCAUGUUUAAGGUGUUGUCGACAAUCUUUUUCUUUUCUUUUCUAUUUCUUUCUCGAUAAUGACAUAAGUUCUUGAGAUAUCUUAAGUUUUAUUAUUAACGUCUUCCAAAAUUUUAAAUUUAGUUCGUCUAAAUACUCAUCAAGAGUAUAUGUCGCCUUAAUAGUAUUAUUUUUGCUAAUUGCUCUAUUUUCUUUUGGAGAUCUUUAUAUUAAAAUUGCAUAUCAUUAUGCUUCAGGUGUGCCAUAAAUUUAUUAAGUACUAUAUAACGAAUUGUUCUUCUAGGAGUCAAUUCGAGUUGGAGCAUUUAAAGUUGGUGCGUGGAAUAUAGUUGAUUUCUUUUGUUAGUAAAUUUAUCUAAAUAAAUUAUCUUUCAGACUUCUGGUUCAAAUUAUCUUUUUCCAGGAUUUAGUUAAUAAUGCAUUUGUAGAUUGUUUUUAGCAUUUUAAAUCCUCCCCUUAAUGCUGAAAAGAUUGCCCAGUCAAAUUGACAAUAAUUUUUACCGUGUUAUAAAAUAUCACCCAUUUAGAGUAAGGAUUCAAACUACAUAUUUAUUCUAAGCCUUCCUUAGUUUUUAUCUUAGUUCAUUGCCGUAGAUUAAUUUUGCAUAUACGAUACUAACAAAAUAAUUAGAUGAAAAAAUUAGGUUCUGAUCAUAAGUCAAUUAUAAUAGAAAGCUAUGAUAUUGGCAUGAUGGGAAGCACUUAAUUCUCAAUUAAUUAGAGGCGUUUAACAAACAAUAGUACUAAACCAUUUAUCGAUAUCCAAACUAACAUUUAUUAAAAGGUUGAGAUUUAUGAUCACUAGCAUUAACAAAACAUUGUCUUGAUGGUAUAAAAUGAAAAUUAAGCCCAUAAUUUAAAUUUAAAUAGUAAUUUCGUAAAUUUCAUGUUGCGAAAAUUGAAUCAUCUAGUAUAUAUAUCAGACAUAUUAAAUACAAAUAAUAUUUAGAUGGCCAACAUGGAGGGCGAUAGGACCCAUUUCAUCACUCUAAUUAAUUUUCAGAAAUAAAGGGAAUUCAAUUCCUAUUUUAGCUAAGGGCGAAAUAUUUUCAAUAAAGAUAAUAAAUAACAUAUAUGAAUUUAUUGGAAAAAGAAUCUUCUGGUUCUUUAUUGCAUAUCCAUUUGAAUUAUCAUUUCACAUCAUUAUUGGUCUAGUGAUGGUUUAACUAGACAUGCCAAAUAACAAAAUAUAAGAGUGAUUGAAUUUAGGUUUAAAUGCAAUAUUGAUCAAAAUGGUCACAAGAGUUUAGUAUAGUGUACCAAUUAAGAAACACUAGUAAAAAAUUUGUAGUUUUCUCUUUUAAUUAAUGGACAACAAAUUACUAGCAAUAGUAAGUUUCUCCUUUCAUAUCACACAAUAUUAACUUUUUCGGAGUCUCAAAAUAAGAUUCUUUAGGAAUAUUUAUGUAUAUAAACUAUUGCUUCUUUAGAAUCAAUUCAAUUAAAAUUGCAAUUCUUUAGGAUUAAUACAAUAUUUCUAUUGAAAUGCCUAAAUUGUGAUUCUUAAAAAAUAACCACACAAUAUUAUUCAAGAAUAUUAAUAAAUAUUAAAUUGUGCUACUUUUUGUAUUAAUUGAUUCAAAAAUUCAUCAUUCAAAACUUUAUUUUUGCCAACUAAUGACCAUCAAACAGGAGCUUAAUAACAUGAUUAAUUAUAAUCAAACUUAAAAUACAUGGUUUUGCUUAAUUUUUAUAAAAUUCCCAUAUAUGACAGAAAAAAAUCCAAUUGCCAAGAAUUCAUAUUUAGGUAAAACACAAUACUAUAAAUAAUAAAAUAAUUUUUUAGUUGAGUAUCUUUUUCAGCUCUAAUAUUUAGAGCAAAAAUCAUAAAUUAUUUUAUUGCAUUUAAUAAAUCUGAUUAAGUUUGUAUCCCACACUUUUUGUCCAUCAAUUUUUUUGUGUCAUGUAAUUUGUAUUAAUGUUUGAAAGCACUUUACAUAAGAUUUUAACCACAGCAUUUUAUAGAGCAUGCAUAGUUUGUACCAGAGGCAAACUCAGGAUCGAAUUUAAAAAAAAAAAAAAAAUAAAUAAAGUCGGACUAAUAUGCAACCAAAAUAAUAAUAAUAAUAAUAAUAAUAAUAAUAAUAAUAAUAAUAAUAAUAAUAAUAAUAAUACUUGAAGACACACAAAUUAUCUACCCAUCAAAAUGAAAUAAGCCGGGGGACUGGACCGAAUCGUAGCUCCGCCAAGUUCCCCCCGCAUCCGCUCCUAGUUUGGAUUUAAAGUGGCAACUUGGCCUAGUAGCAGCACGAGGCCACUCGCACAAAUUAAAUCGACUGCAAGUGUAGCCCAAGAUUAAAACUUUUUGUGGCACCAUGUCAACGAAGAUGGAAAUAUGCUAUUCAGUAUGUUAAAAUUGGAUUACAUAGAGAACUUCAUAAAGGAAAAGUAUAGAACCAUAAAAAUCAUAAUAAACAGAAUUACCUCUACCACUAAACCUAUUGGAAUACAAAAAAUUAUAGCCUUGUGGAUUGAUUUUAAGGUAGAUUGCAUAGUGCUUGAAGCUUUUAGUUGGUACAUUUCAACUUGGUAGAGUAACCUAACGUACUAUUGUAACGCCGAUUACUUGUUCCAUGUAAUUAUCAAAUCUAAUCGUAUUAAAUUCAUUGAUAUUAUAUCUAUUGUCAAUCAUAAAAUCAUUUUCCUCAUGACUAACUAUGUUCUUAUAAUGGAUUGCAACUUGGAUGUCAUGGAUGAUUGACGUACCUAUUAAUUUAGUUUCGAUGGGUUUAUGAAGUUAUUAAUUAAGCAAGGAUUUAAUUAUAUGACAUAUCAUAUAUUUAUUUGCUUAUGUGCUUAUGACUAGUCUUUCUUCUUAAGUCAACCUAGACAUCACGUUGAAAUAUUCCUCCUUCUUAAUGAGUACAUUUUUCUAUAGUUAGAUAUGAAAUUAUAAUGUUGGACUGCUUAAUCCUAUUUUAGUUAAUAGAACCAAAUUUAAGUAUUUAAAUAAGUUAAUAAUAUAAAUUAGGGGUCUUAUUUAUUUAUUUACGUUACUUAUACCUAAUUAAGUGUCAUUAGAUUUAAAAAUAAGGAUUGCCCAUAUAUAUACUACUGCAGACUAGGUUACACAUUCACUUGGAAGCUGCAGCCGAUUCACGUUUGCAUCAUCAAGUAAGGCCACCAGAAUUUUGAUUGUGUUGUGCAUUUACUAUUAGUCAAACUAUGAUUCAUGAUAAUGGGCUGACUGAAUUUUUUGUUGAAUCAAUUAAUAACUGUCUUUUGAAUCUAAAUAUGAAUGCACGUACAAAUUAUAAUUCUUGUUAAUAGUAUCUAAUUCAUUGCAAUAACUAAGUUUUAAUUUGGCUUUCGAGAUUGAGAACCUAUCUUCUUCUCUUGGAUAUUUAGUAAUUCUUUUGAUUUCUAGAACGAUACAGGAUAGAACUAUUCUAGAGGUAAUAACCCUUUACAUAAGGGAGUCCAAAAUAGACAUAAUUUAUUUUUGCAUGUAUUUUAAUGUCUACUGCCAUCACUUUUAUUGAAUCCACUUGUCUAAAUUGAAUCAAAACUUGGCAAAUCAUGGUCUUCUCUUUUCCUUUUUGCCUCCACGUUAAAUUAUGUACAGAAAGAGAUUAUUCCAUAGUAGGUUCAGUUUUAAUUUUUAAUUUCUUACAUGUUUUAUUUCCAGUUUGAAAUUUAAAACAAUAAUAAUAAAUAAAUUUUACUUAGUAGAACAGGGUUUGGACUGAAAUGAUGUUUAAGAUAUUGUUAAAAAUUUCUAAAUAAAUGAUAAUGAAUUAGGAAACUUUUUGGUACGUUGCCUUCGAGGGGCUACUGAGGACAUCUCCAUUUGUUAUUUUAAAAUCUAACUUCUAUGAAAUUCAAGUAAACCUCCAACAAUCCUUAUAGAUAUAUUACAUUGUUAUAUAUAUUUAUAUGUUAUCUACACUGGUAUUAUGUGAUAUUAAUAUGCAAAUCAUCAUAUUUUACGUCUAAAUGUUUUUAAUGAUCAUUCAUCAUACAAAUUUAUCCAUAAGGCAUGCAUGAAAUUUCGUGAAAUAAGAGUUUUUAUAUUUCAAUGUGAGAAUGGAUGUCUUCUUUUAAAAGGAUAUAUAUGUAUUCCAAAUAAUGUUUUUAUUACAAGGUAUAUGUCUUUGCCAUGAAGGUGUGAGUGGAAAAUGGGACGUAGGAGACUGACGCACCCAACCAAUGUUCAAUGAUGAAUGUUAAAUGUUUCAAUCAAGUUCCAAACAACGUGGCCCAUUUCAUUUUAUUGGCUAGACGAUGCACCAAAUAAGUUCACAAUCUCAACAUUAAGGUUUUAAAAAAAAAGAAAGAAAAAAGUGAUAUAUGUCGAGAAAUGUUUCUUUUUAGUUUAUUUUAAAGUAAAUUAUGUGCAUAUUAUAAGCAUGCAUUAUAUGCGGGAGGUUUGCUUAUUGAGCGAUAGCUUAUUCCACUUUAUUCAUCCUCAAAUUUUCAGAUGAUGAGAGCUAGUGAUGUGACGUGACUACUUGAGGCGAGAUGAGUUCAAUACUAUCCCAGAUUAAAUAUUCUAGUUAUAUUCUAAAUUAAUCAUUUGGAUUUUUGAUAAAUUUCAUUGUUAUUAAUAAAUCAUUUCGGACCAUGUAUUUUACCUCACAAAAUUCUUUAAAAUUUUAUUAUUCCUCAAGUUAUAAUGUCAAUGAAGUUCAUUAGCGUUACAUAAAUUUUAUAUAUUUUCCGCAUUUUUUUUAAAGAAAGAUAAUUAAUGCUUGCACUUAUACAUUUAGGGUUUCUAGUUUUCUCUUUGUUACAGUUAUUCAAAUCUUAUAUCCACCUACUUGCCAUAAAUUAUAUUAUACUUAUGUUAAAUCAUAGAUAAAGCAGAAUGAUCGCUAGAGCAAAGUAGGCCAAUAUUUUGAAUUCAAAUUUUCAACACCACCACGUAGUUACGACAAUUAUACGUCUUUAACUUUCCAAAAAACAAACUCUAUGAGUUGAUUUUUUUAAUAAAUAAUAUAAUUACGAAAUGUGUAUCUAUGCAUGGUAGUGAUAAGGUAUAGAUAUGAAGCUUUAAUAAAAUUGGUUUCUUUUUAUUAGUAAAAAUACAUUGAAACACAACUGCACAAUACCUAAUAAUUGAUGUUAAACUAAUUAAUAAUAAUGACAUUUGGUCUUAAAUCCAAUACAAUGGGAAUGUGAUUUCAAAUCCUAAUAAAGUUUUCGUUUUGUUAAAUAAUUCAAUUAUUAAGAUAAACCAUCCAAUCUUAAGGUUCUUAAAACUCACUUUUAGUGAUCUAAAUAAUUGUUGAUCAAUGAUUUUCAAUGAUGUCAAGAUUGCAUCAAUUAGCAAAGCAUAACACAUUGACUUGAAAGCAGUUGGCCACAUAAGUAGUUGAUGACAAAUAAAUAAGUUUAUCUUCUUUAUAACAGCUAGGACUUUUAAAUAAGGUGGUUUAAUAAAGUGCCUAUCUGAUAUAAAUGUUUUAAAUUUAAAUCUUGUUACUAUCCAUUUAUUAAAACUAUAUACGUGCCUAAAAAAAGUUAGUCGGCUCUCUAGUGGCUUUUACUUUCAAAUGAGACAAUUUAAUUAGUUAACAUGCGAUCAAUGGUUUAACAGAGUUGCUACAUUGUACUAGUUUGAACAAUAUUGGAAAAGAAAAACUAAAGGGAUCGUUUGGUUUGUAUUUCGAUUUUCAAUUUUCAAUUCAUUUCCAGUCUUAGGUUUUCACACACACACACACACACACCCCUUAAAGUUGGUGAAACUUAAAAUAUUUUUUUGUCAAUACAAAGUAAAAUAAAUAAUAAAUAAUAAAUUUGAGUUCAAAUAUAUGAAAUAGAAAAUAAAAAUAAAGACGUGAAUUGAGAAUUUUUUUUUAUUUGUGUUCACUUAAAUAUUUUUUUAAAAUUUUUUAUGUAAAUAAUCAUUAAGAGCUUGAGCUAUUUUUAUUUUUUGAUAAUUUAUAACUUUUAAAGUUCUUUAAAAUUUUUAUUUUAUAUUUUUUAGAAUUUUAUUUUUUUAGAAUAUAUCAAUCUUAUAUUUUGAAUUUUAUUUUCUAAAUUUUUUAAAAAUUUAUUUCCAUAUUUUAUAUUUAUUUUUAUAAAAUUUUUAAUUUUUAAUUUUAAUUAAAUAAAAUUUUAUUAAAACUUUUGUUUUCCAUGUUUUGAGUAUUUUCAAAAGGUGUUUUAAGUUUUAAGUUAUAAAUUUAACUUUGUUUUUGAUAUGCAUUUUGAAAAAUACCAAACCAAACAUGUUUUCAGCAUUUUGAAAAACAAAAAAUUGAAAAUGGCAAACCAAGCACACCCUAGAUUUUUUUAAGUUUACUUUCUAUUCCUAUCUAAUAAGUGAAACAUGUCCCAUAUAUUAGUGUCAAUAACUAAUGGAAAAUCAAGAUGAUGGAGGUUACUUUAGGCCAAAAUAAUGUUGUGGGGGGGUGGGACAUGACUUGGUAUGAAUUAGGUCAAGUGGGAUCUUAAUUUGAUGAAUAAAUGAAGUAAAGAGGCGGCAUACCCAUAUGAAGAAGAUGGAAAGUUCUUUCAACUCUUAUUCUUGUGUCUAUGGCCAUAUAGUCUUUUAACAGUCAAUAUGUUAUACACGUUCGAUCACUCUAAAGGUAUUUGUGGUAAUAUCACAUAUUGUUUGGCCAAAUGUUGAGCCAUUGAAUAAAUUUUAAGGCGUCUUUCUACAUCCAAGUAAAUUGAUCUUGUCCCUCUCCUUUUGAAUGAUUAUUAUUACUAUUUUACUUUAUAGUUUUUGAUACGGUUAGGUACUUGUGAGUAGGGUUAAGAUGAUAUUUGAAUGUGUUUUUGUUUUCUUAUCAUUAGUUUAUGGAUGAAUUAUCGUAAGACAAGAUAAUUUUGGUCGUGUUUUUGUAUGACAUUGUAAUGCUAACUAAUUUCUUUAUAUUUAUAUGUGACUUGGAUGUCAAUAAUAUGAUUCGAGCAAAUUUGCCUACCUUGGAAGAGAUCCGAGGCUAACAAUUUUAAAAAGUUUUCAAAUCCAUUUAAAAAACAUACGAGGCUUGACAUCAUAUGCAUACUCAUAUCCUUUUGUUCAUGCCAUCAGGACCAAUAAAUUUUUAACUUUUUUUUUUUCAAUUAAUUUUGUGCAACACUCUCUUUGUUAACCAUUUUUACUACUUCCUUUCCAUAUAUCAUUUUAGACUUGUAGUAGAUUCUAUAAAACUUUUGGCUCUUUAAAAUUUUAUAGGGUCAUUGAAAGUCAUUAAAAAGUAUGGGACAUAAAAUCGAGACUUUUUAAAAGUCAUAAAAGGUUACUUGGUAUUCAAAAUAUUACUAACUUUUAUAAAAUGCUUCGCACACUAAUUUUAAGCAAAAUAUAAAAAAAAUAAAAUCUCAUAAAAAAUGUUUCUCAAUCACCCUCAAGAUUUUGAAAAACUUUUACCAAGAAAAUAAAGGUCAUUCGAUCAAUAAAAAUUCUGCUCCCUCUUUGAAUCUACGAUCCCCAGAGCAAUGAUACAAAGAAUCAAUAUCUAUAUAUUUUCAACCUGUUAAUAUUGUUAUCCUCGUUUUUUUUUUUUUUUUUUUUUUUUUUUUUUUUUUUUUUUUUUUUUUUUUUUUUUUUUUUUUUUUUUUUUUUUUUUUUUUUUUUUUUUGCUUUCUCUCUCUUCUUCUUCUUCUUCUUUUUUUUUUUUUUUAUAAUCAUUUUCUCAAAUUUUUUUAUGAAAAUAGAUCAAUUUGUAAAUAAAACCGGAUUUUUCUCUUUUGUCAUUGUUUUCUCCAAUUUUUCUAUGGAACAAGGUCAAAUUUUAAAAUUUUUUUAUGAAAAUUAUAAAUUAAUUUGUAAGUAAAUAAUUAAAUAUAAGUUAUUUUUAAUUUAUAUUAAAUUUAUUCAAUUAUACAAAAGUCAUUCAUUUCAAAAAAGACCUCUAAAAAUCUUUAAGUCCAAAUUGAAUACUCUAUACAGAAUCCAGAGGGGUAGUUCAGUGUUCAGGUCUUGGUUUGCUCCCCAAUUGUCACUAAUUCGAGUAUCCUCAGGGCUAUUGAGAUAAGUACCCGACUGUAAAUUUCAGGGUUCCGUGAGAUUAGUCGAAGUGUGAGUGCCCGGACACCCAUGAUCAUAAAAAAAUAAUAAAAGAUAAAAAAAUAAAUAAGUUUGAAUACUCUAUGCAAAUGAGUGUCAAGUUCUCUCUAUUGAAGUACCCCCCCCCCCCCCCCCCCNNNNNNNNNNNNNNUGCCCCCCCCCCCCCCCUCUUUUCUUUUUCUCUUUGUUCCCUUCCAAAUUUUCUAGUCUAGAAUCUUAAAUAAAUUCAUAUUUUAAAAUGUUAAGAUAUCAUGAAUCGAUAUUAUGUCUUGUAAAAAAGAUAAAAAUAAUGAACUAGUCGAGUAUGCCUUUUGUUGCUUUUAGCAUUUCAUAUGAUAAAUUGAUAAUUUUCGACUGCACAACAUUCUCAUUAAUGACAUCAUCAACGUCCUUUUCAUUUCUGCAUAUCCUCAACUCUAGUAUUUAGGAUUUUGGAUAACACGUGUUUUUGCCUAUAUAAUUAUUUAUGUUUGGUCCAUAUAAUUAUAUACCAAACGAAAAUUGAAUCAAUUUUAUUUUUUUCCCAUGUAAGAAUUUUAUAAUCUUAAAAUAACUUAUUUCCCGCAUGCAAUCCAACACAACAUAGCAUGUGAAUUUUCAAUCCCAUUGUAUUUUAAAAGAUUUUGCAUAUAUAUUGACGUUGAUGGCCAUGACUUGUAAUUUUGCAAGAACUAAAAAUGUUAGAAAAAGAACAAAAGUGUUUUUAUUUAUAUUUAAAGCAACACUGUACACGUUCCUCGUCUGAGGACUGAAUUCAUUUUGUUUAGUUUGAAGGUUAACAUGUAGGUAUUUUAUUAGUUAGUAGAGACAACAUUAAUAUGUAAAGGCCACGCAAUUUAAUUUUAGAUUAAUAAAUUAAGAAGAUGAACUUAUUUAUUUAAAUUUAAAUGUUUAAUAUAUUCUCACGUAUGAGCAUUAUGACUGACCUUCAUUUUGAAUCGAAUGUGGCAAUAAAUCGAUAAUCAUCAGUUGUCCAAUCACAUGUUGAUUGAUGUUUUAUUUUUUUUUUUCCUUCUAGAAAAGUAAUUUUGAAAGUCAUUCUUCAUUUAAAAAAAAAAAAAAAAAGGUUUAUAGUAAAUUUAACUAACUUUUAAGCAUUGUCAAACUAUGUCUGAGUUAAUCAAAUUAUCAACAAAAUAUUUAGCAUUCAAUAAUGAAAGAAAUGUCAUGUUGGAAUGAACAAGAUAACUAACAAAUUCUAUCUCGAGAUUCUUUCAAUUAUGUUAAAUCUCAUCUAAUCUUACAUUUCAAACAAGAAGAGUUAAAUAAAUUCGUGUUUGGUAGAGAUUAAAAUUAGAUUUUUUAGUAGAUUGUGAUAGAAGUUUUUGAAAUAUAUGGUUGAAAAGUUGUGAAACUAAUGAAAAAUGCGGUUAAUAUUGAUUAUUCGAGUUUGACUCAAAUUUAGAUCAAAUUUUAUUCCUUAUCAAACAUGCUCUCAAGUCCACUAAUGUAUCGAUAUUUGCUGGAGUAACUUAGAGAGCAUGUGGCCCUUAACCACUAGGUCGAGGGUUCAAACCAUUCUCAGUUACUAUAUUUUUACGCUCAUCUCGUCAGAACUUUCCCCCACUUUUACCACCAUUUACCAUUCAUCGGACAACCUCACAUGGUGGCGCAAUGGGUGCUUGGUCCACCCUCCACCCUUUUCCAGCCCCCCAGUCCCCACCCCACCCACCCUUCUCUAUCUAUCAUUACAUUCUUGAUUUCAUCUCAUUGCCAUUUAAUUUCUCUCUCUUAUCCACCCCCUCUUUCUUUAGUCCUUAUAUAUCCAUUCAGGUACUUCAUUUCCUCACAUUCACACCCCCAUUAAUUCAACACUCAUAAACCACCUCCUUAUCCACUAGCCGGCAGGUCAAAAAUGUUACGAUGUGUGGCUCAAUCCACAACCUCGUCGCCUGAGAAAUACGCGGUCAUGGGCAUGGACAUGAGUGUCCUCGAAAGACAAAGGGCCGUCUUACAACGCCUUUGUCAACAACAACAACAUUCUUGGCAACUUCAAGAAGCUGCUAACAUAAAUCCUAUGAUUCACCAAAAUAUGUCAAAUUUGCAUCCGGCGAAAUAUGAUCAAUGUUUGGAUGAAAUCAAUUUGCCCAGUUUCGCUAUUUAUGGAAGAGAGCAGCAGCAGCAUAUUGGAUUUGCCUGUCCUGAACUCACAAGUGCUUCAGUUUCAGCUGUUUCUAAUAAUUCGUCAAUGACAAAACAUGAUCAUCACAUCGAUAGCAGGAUGUUAAAGAGAAAAGGAACUGUGUCCAAUUCCACGAGGAAACGAAAAGCAGAGGUUUGGUUUUAUACUAUGUUUUAAUUAAUGUUGUAUUAUAAAUUCUUGUGAGAAAUUUAAGGAAAUUUUUUACUACAGUUUGAUGUUGAAGAGGAUUGCAACGACAAAGGGGCUGAGAGAGAUGCAGGAGAAAUUCAAUCAGAUAUCACAGUGAAAACUGAUAGGGAAACUUCGACUAACAAUUCUUCGAAGGAAAGCAUUCAAAAGCCCGACUAUAUUCAUGUCAGGGCGCGUCGUGGCCAGGCCACUGAUAGCCACAGCUUAGCCGAAAGAGUAAGAAUCCGAAAUAAACGAACAUCAGGCUAAUACUUGGAAAAGAAAAUGAACUGAAAACUGAAUUGGCUAAUGAUUUUCCAGGCAAGGAGGGAGAAAAUCAGCAAGAAAAUGAAGUAUCUGCAGGAUUUAGUCCCAGGAUGUGACAAAGUUACUGGCAAAGCUGGAAUGCUUCAUGAAAUCAUCAACUAUGUUCAGUCAUUACAAAGACAAGUCGAGGUAACGCUAAUUAGCUCGAUUAUCCAGGUCGUGACAAGUACUUAUUUGGAUUGCUCAUUUGUUUCAUUACUAAUUAGAGUCCACAAAAUUUUGGGUUGUAACUGACAGUUCCUUUCGAUGAAAUUGGCUGCUUUAAAUCCAAGGCUCGACUUCAGCAUCGAUGAUUUCUUCUCAAAAGAGGUACUACUUGUGACAUUGCAAAAUCCGACUAACUUUGUUUAACAGAAAACAAGAAAAAGCCUUCCUCUAUAGCUAACUAAUGAUCGAAAAUUGUUCAUCGAAGAUUCCAGCAUAUAUUGCCAGUUUCCCGAUGCAAUUACAAGUGGCGAAUCCAACAAGCUUACAGUAUAAUCCACUGCAACAAGGAGGGAUAAGUUGUGGGGUUGAUAUAGCAAUGGCUCCAUCUCAAAUAUUACCUCAAAAAGAAGGAAGCUCUUCUGUUCCUAUUACAGAAGUAUAUCAUGAUUCUUCUUCUGCACAUGUAAUAUCUUUUAACUCGUAUUGCAUCUAUGAUAUGCUCGACUAAACAGUACUAGACAGUUCAAACAUGUAUGGUUGUGUUUAAAAGAAAAACGUUUGAUAAAAUAAGCAUAACCAAACAUGCUCCAAGAAAAAAAGGUCAGAAUAUUAUGUAUUAUACUGUAUAGUUGACGUCACACGUCCAGUACUGCAUAGAAAGCACAACUUUAACGAAUUCUUCAGUUUUAUCAAAAGCCCUUUUAUCUAAUUAGAAAUAUUACAAUAUUUGCAGCAAGCACAAAUGCUGCCAACUUGGGAUUCUGAAUGGCAGAAUCUUUUCAGCGCUGGCUUUCAUUAGUUAUGAAGAAUUAAUUGCUUAAGGUCAGUCGUGACUCAAAAAAGUAACAUAGAAGUUGAACUUUCUUAUUCGUUCAUAUGUUCCUAACGUUUUUUUGCUUCUUUCUACAGCAAAUAAUUGAGUGCAAAUGGUCCCGGAAUCUUGAAUAUUGACUGAUCCAAAGGACAAGAACAAUUUGUGCAAGCCUGGCAGUUGAACAGUUCAAUCUCAAGAUGAAGCACAUAAUCUUUGGACAAGAAUAUAUUAACUACUACAAUGAUAGAGAUUCUUUUUCUUACUGACAAAUCAUAAAUAUCUGUUUUUUAUUACUCAAUUUGAUAAGGCACAUAAUUCAUUUGUUGUCCUUUAUAGUAUAGGUAAUGACUUGAUUGUAUAAAUGUUUCAUUAAGAACUAAGAGUGUGUUUCAUUGCAAGCAUAGAAUUUGUAUAGAAAGAAAAUAAAUUCUAAGUAAUCUAAUUGUUUAGAAUUUAUUUACAUGGAAAUUGUCAAUUAAAUGUUUGUGAUUUAUUUAAUUUUCAAGCUAUAAAAUAUUAUACAUGUCCUUUUUUAUUGAUGAGUAGAUAAGAGAGAAUGGAUAAAUGAGACAGAGAGAAAGAGAGAGCUAAUUCCGUGGAAAAUAAAAUCAUAUUCCCCUAAAGAAAAUAUUUUCCUUGAUUUUGAAGAAAAUAUGGUCAUGUGACCAAAAGUAAGAAAACAUUUUUCAUGGAAAAAGGUCAAUCAAACAACACAAAAGUAGGAAUUUGGUGGAAAAAACACAUUUUCUAUAAAAAAUAUUGGCAAUGAAACGCACUCUAACAGUAAAAUGUUGAUUUGUUAUUUUAUUUCUCUUCAUGCACGAUAUGUGACAUUUGGGGUAGUAUUGAAGGUACAAUUAUUUAUAGCGUGUUCCUUUUUCUUGGGAAUUGAUCAUCUUUAUAUCGAUUUCGGUUAAAGUUAGAAUUUAACAGGUCUUAGAUUUUAAAAUUAUAAUUUAGAUAGUUCCUAUCGAAUUCUAAAAGUUUGAAUCCCAACCUUGAGGGUUCCCAACGCCACGCCCCUAAAGUAUCAUAAGAGAGGUAAAUCGCGGGAUGUGUCCUAACAUGUUAGGGAACAAGAGCUUGUCCAUACACUGGUGUCCACAAAGAGCCCAAUUUCAUAUCUCAAAAAUCGAACCCUUACACUGCGACUGUCAGUAAGGUUGAAACUACCUCACUCCUAUCCUUUACACCACUGGGUUAUGCCCUGAAGGGCUUGUUCCUAUCGAAUUCUAAAUUGUACCUAUAGAAAUGAAAGAGUAAUUUUUAGUAAUUUUUUCUUUUUAUAAUCUCUCAAUUAAGGUAACUGUUAAGCUCAAUGUAAGUUUACAUGAACUUGUAAGCUCAAUUUAAGUUUACACUUUUGCAGCUUAAAACACAUAAUGGGAUUAUACAUCAAUUUAAGAUUUUAGAUAACAUCGUCCAAGGCGUAGAAAGCAACCACAACAAAAGCAGCACAAAAGCAAGAUGAGGAUGGAGAAAGAAGGUAUUGUAGUUGAGACGUUGAAGCCAGUGGGCACAAGCACAAACAAGUUGUGGGGAGAAAGUGAAUUGAAAAGAAAAAAAAAUGAGGACUGGAAGAGUGGUUGCUUUCAUGUGGUCCAUUUUGAUGGUUGCUUGUCAAAUAUGGUUUCCAAUUUCACUUGCACUCCACACUACACAGAAGAUGGCCAUGCCCACUGAAUAGGACUACCACCACCAGCACUAGUAUAACUUAUUCCAUGGCAUUUGUAAUCCACGUGUAUAAAUAUGUAUUGGUAUGAGUAGAAGGCUAAAACGAUGCAACUCCGUCAGACCUAUGCAGAGCUAGUCAGUUGACUAGAACACUAUUCUUGAACAAGGAUGAUGCUAUCAGGGUGUUCAGAAUGGUGUCCACCUUCCCUCUACAUGGAGGAGAACUGACUUAGAAUAAAAUAUUAUUUAUCCUAAGUGGAUCCCCUCACGUGCAAGUAGCAUAUUCCCUCGAACAUUUUGGAGUCGAAACUUCUAUGGAAAAAUAACAAUAAGUUGAAAUUAGGCUCCAUACUAUUUUUCAACAAAUUUAUAUUUGUUUACUUUUAGAAUAUUGGGUGUAUGUGUGUGAUAUUUUAAUAAAAAAGUAACAAAAAAUAUUGACAUUUUAAAUAAAUUUAUGAUACGAGGACAGUACGACUUUUGUCUGUCUACCAUAUUUUUCAGCUUCAGGAUCAAGAAUGGGGUUCACGUGGAGACUAAGUCCACAGCUAAGAGCUCUACCUAACUAACGUACACAUUAGAAAAACCGACCAGCUCUUUAUGUAGAUGACCAAGUUACUUUUUCUGGGAUUUCAUGUAUAACACUGCAUUUUCAAAGUUUCACAACGUUGCAUUUGCCUCAAAUCUACAGUGCUCAGUAGGUCAUAGAUAAAAUGGUUACGAGGGUCGAGGGCGACUUUCAGAAUAGACCUUGAAAGGUUGACUUUCAAUAUAGCCAUUGCACAAUUGGGAGAGGAAUAAAAAGGGCAUUUUCCCAAGAAUUUCCAAUAUGAAGGAUAUUCCCAAGAAUUGAUAUUGUUGAAAUAAUAAUACAAAUAACUCCACCAAUAGACACGGGAAUCCAUGAGAAUGGCAAUUAUUCAAGGAAACUAACCAAAAAAAAUAUUUUGAUAAAUGCAAAGCCACAGCAACAGCAGGCCAAUUUUUCACGAAAGUUAGCCACACAUAUCGACUCCACGAACCUAACCGACAAGCGUCCUUAGUGAAUGCGAUGAUUCACCUCAGCCUUGAAAUAUAUGGAAAAGCCACCAUAAGAAGAAACUACAAACAUCAGCAAUUGCUAGUGGGAAAGUAGGGACGAUUUCGAUAAUUGUGGCCCUGAGAUAGAUAUAACAAAAAAAACAUAAAAUGAGAUUUAUGAAUCGAAAAGUACAUUACAGAAUAUAACAUAUACUGUGCAGCAAGUACCUGCAGGCUGAAUCAUCCGUCAAUCAUGAGUACAAAUACAUUGUAUGAAGUCUAAUUUUCAUGAGUUUCUUUUUAGAUUUCAGCAACACAAAUGUUAAAUGACACCAUAAAUAUGAAACUCAACCAGACACUAGAAUACAGAACAUCAGGAGACCACCUCAAGCCUUGCCACAAGUAGAAUUCCAGUUCUAAAUGGCAUGCUGUUUCAACAGGGAUUUGCAGAAUAUAACUUAUUCCUCUUGGACCUCCUGAGUUUCCAAAUAAGUUUGCCUGUUGAUAUUACAGAAGAAUGAGAUAUUGAAAGUGAAUGUUUGUUCCCAUGUCCAGAAUUGUUAUCAGUUAUCAUCGAAACUACCCAUUUCCGUGUUUCAAAUGAAAUUUGCCCCCUUCUCAGAGUCUCUAGUAAAAGUCAAAGUCUGAGCAGCAGCAUUGUGACCACGGUCACGCUGGCUGCUUUCCUGCAUUAUUCAUAGAAAAAUCUAAACGAGAAAGAAUAAUGUUGUAAACAUCUCUGAUAGAGGUCAAUAAAAACGAAAGUUCUGUUUAGAGCACGUUAUGCGAAGGUUAAAAAAAUAUGAAGUUACUUUUGAAUAAUUUUUUGCCUCCAAACAUGUUUGGAUUUCUUUUUUAUUUUUUAUUUUUUUCCUUUUACUUUUAAGUAAAAAGUUAAAACAUUUCUUUCAAAAUAAUUCUUAGUGUCAAAAUAAGCAGCUUUCUUACUUCCAACUUCUACAAAUAAUAAAAAUUAUUUAUUUCAAGACUACUUGCUUGUAAGUAAACUUUUUUAAGCAUAGGCUAACAUGCUCAUAAAUAAAUCAAUCAAACAAAUUAGUCUCGAGGACUCACCAUCUGAAGCACAUCCAAACAACCGCCUUGUCGGUUGGAUCCUUCAGGCAGCACAGGAAGAUGAUCUGGGAAAGAAGCAUACUCAUCCAUACCAGAAAAAUUUCCUCCAAAGAUUAGCUGUUCUGUAUCAACCUGGGCAUAUGGUCCGAAGAAAUUGUCAAAUUGCAUCUGUUCCAUUUCAUUAACUUCAGCAGGGUGAUUCAAUGGAACUUCAAGAUCAUUAAGUUCCAAAUAAGCUAUGUUAUCUUGUGGCAGCGUGUAGUUCAGAGGAUAGCCAUCUUUCUGCAUGCCAGCAAAAUCAAGUCUGCCUUCAUUCAUCGAGUCCCAAUUAUCCAAGUCACAGAGACCGUUGUAUAUUUCAUUUCCAUCCAGACAAGGUAAAGAUUCAUUCUUCCAAUUCUGAUUAAGACCAUCUCGAUUCUGUGUUAAAUUCAAUUUAUUUCAGAAAACGGUUAAAUUAAAGCAUCACAAAUAAUAUUCAAAUGAAUUGUGAUUCUACGAGUUAACAACUGAAAGACAUCACUAAUAUUUUUCCAAUCAGAGGUUGCUACUCUAGACCAUAAUUAACAAGUUGUAACCAGCAGAAUAAAUAUUAGUAUAUAACAUACCGGAAUCACAGAAGCAUUUGUUUCAGAAAAUGAAAAAAGAGACCACCUCUAAUACAUAAAGUGCAUGUUUGGAAUAGCUUAAAAUCUUGAGGUUAAAAUCAACAAAAUUUAAACCACUCUCUUAUCAAAUCUAUCAAAAAUUGUAUCAAAAGCUUAUAAAAAUACAUAAAAAAUACUCAAUGACAAGACUGAUUUUACAAAUAAUCUUUGCAAAUGUUGAGAUUUCAAGGAAGUAUUAUUGUUUAACAUAAUCUCGAUGACAAGUCGGACUUCAAAAUUGAUCCAUGUAUACAUGGUUUUUGUCCAAUUUUUACAUGCAUCUCAGAAUCAAUCGAGACAUGUCCUAACUGCAUGAAAAAGUGGGAAACAUUUGAAAUGCGUAUGCAAGCACAACAGAUUCAAGGGCAAUUGAGGAACACCUCAGGAUAUAUUUUAAAACAAAUAACAAAAACAAAUUGGUAAUUUAAAGGUCCGAUGUAAAAAUAGAAAUCAAAAAAAUCUAAUCUACGGACUUUCUAGUAAACAAGAAGCCACCCAAAAGGAAGCAAUAACAAUAAAAAAGUAAGGUAAUGUAAAGAAGGAAUGCAUAAUGUAUUUACAUGGCUAAUAUAUGAUCCAAAAGCAGCAAUAUUUAAGUUCUUAAUCGAAAAAACAUCAAGGUAUACUUAGCAGGAUAGAUGGGGCUAGUAUGAUGGAAAAGAAGCCUACUUUGAGGGUACAAUGACACCAUCCUACACAGGAGGUCUUGUGCUUGUAAAUCUUAUUAUCGUGUGUACGGCUAGGAUCUUAAACACCUGACAGACUCUAGUGCUGAAUUUCUGAUUUCUUUCGAGUUAAGUAUUCAUAGUCACUAUCUUGCACAGAUUUGAUAAAAGCACUUUCAAGAGAUAAGGUGCCUUGAUGAAAAUUUAUAUAACUAGCAAAAGAAAUCUCACUAAUCGAACUUCAAAAGAACACAUACCCCAUAAUUUCCAUUAUCAUUGAGUAACACGCUGUCAUCCGUAAAAGAGGCCAACAAGUGAACAAUUUCAUCAUCCAGCAAAUCCACUGGCACCUCAUUAGCCAAAGGACCAGAGAAAUGUGACGGGCCAAUUUCAAUAGAUUGUCCAGACUUACUUCCAGGAUCAACCAUGCUUGUUACGACAGAGCAGUUUUGAUUUUCAGGCAAUGUUGAUGCUGCAAGGGACGGACCAUCAGAUGGCAAAGAUAUGACAUGGUUUUGUAUAUCAUCAUCAUUAUCGUCAUCCCAAUCUGCCUCAUUAAAGGGUGCCCCAUACUGUGCACCAUUUUUUGGGCCCAGACCAUCUUUCUGGAAGACUUUACAAAGCACAUAGAGGUCCUGUGAAAUAUGGGAAAUGUUAACCACUUCUUCAAUGAGAAAUAAGAUAAAUUUUCUGACCAGUCUUUCUGAUUGGAAAGAACAGACAAGCAUGCAGCAAAAGCAAAACUGAAAAUCUAAUGCUGCUAAGGGACAAGCCAAGUUAUUGAUACAUUCAUUAGAACUCUUCAAAACUCAACCUGACAUUAAUGUAAAAACAGAGGAUCUAGCUAAAGAGCAAGAAUUAACUCAAAACCUUCACCCUUUAUUUGCUACAAAUUCUACUCAAUGGGAAUAAAAGGAAUUCAAUCUAUGGAUAACCUACACUUGCUUACCCUGCUCUUUCCAGCAGAAAAAUGAAAGUUCAACCGAAGUUUAGACAACACCUAAUUAUCUAUAGGGGCAUUUCAACAUUUCAAAUAUUUAAGGAAAAGAUGCCCAUUAAACAAAUUCAGCAUACAAUCUAUAAUGACAAAAGUAUACGAGACAAAUUAUCCGUGUCAAAGUGCGAAUUUCUUAAUACGAUGAGCUGACAGGAAAUGGUCCAGAUAUAAUUAUGAUGGUCAGAAUUUGUAAUCUUCCCAAAAAGUGCAGACAAAGCAAAUUGUGACUUGUGAGAGCAGCUCAUCACAGGCCAUUAGAUAAAUGAUGCGAGCCUGAAAUGAUGCGGACAUCAUCCUCAUCGGGCCACUUGUUGGGCCAUUUUAUCUUCUAUGUACUUAUUUUAGGUUUUAUGUUUUAUUGGGCUUGUAUAUGGGUUUGGCCCAAGCCCAAGUUUAUUAAUUUGGUAUUUAUAUUAUUGUAAUUGGAUUGAAAUGGCAGUUUUGAUGAAAUGAAAUAGAUGUGGUGAUAUCGUUUCUCUCCUCUCCUCCCUUCCUCCUUCAGUUUGUUCUUCCUCUUCUUCUUUUCUCCUUGGCCAAUUCUACAUCAAUUUGGUAUCAGAGCCAAACCUGGGUGCUGGUUAACUACAUCAACCUCUUACCAUCAGUUUUGUGAGUCAGUAAGCUGUUCAUUAACUUAAAGCUUGUCCCGAAAUUUUAUCCUGUCAUCUUCACAAAUUGACCACCAUCUGCAGUCGUAUAGUCUCACCCAAAACCUGUUUUCCUUCAAUUUCAUAUUUGGAAGAGGUCUGAAAUUUUGAUACAAAAUGAUUUUUAGACAGCUACUUCAAAUCCCCGAUUGCACCACCAUCUUCCAUUACAACCCACUAUCCACACCUCAAGCCCAAUGAUAGUAACCGCCAAUAACCUCAUAGUAACUGUCAGAUCCCAAUACAACACAAAAUACACCAUCCCAGCAACCUAAAACCACCCACGAUCAUUAAAUUCACCAACCCAUUACAAACUAUACAUCAAUCUCCUGCAACCUCUAAUUAUCCAAUACCUUUCAGUAAGCCACAGAUAAAUCAUCUCCUCUGCUCUAAUCUCGCGAACUCUACUCCAGAACCUACUUCGGCUACCACCGGCAACCCUCAAAUUGCCGGCAUCCCACACAAUCGGUCCAACUCUAUUACAGAUUCCACAAAAUCGAUAACCAAACCAACACUUGUCACUCGUCACAAACCUGGCCGCCAGUCACUGCUCACAGCGUCGGCUCACCAGAAUCACUGCAGACCGUAAUUGUACAGUUGCGAAUUCCAGUUUCCUCGCGACUGCUACUCCAAAUCGAGACCCACGUAGCUCCAUCCACAAAGAAUCCACACUGUAGCCACGCCGACGACGGAUGAUACCCGCUUCAGGUUCCGUCACCUUCUGUAUCGAGCAACUCGCGUCGCCCGAAGCUUCCACCUCGCGAUCAUUGCCCCCAAAUGCAGAUUUUGUUUGGGCUGUAGUCGAUAGUCCUUGCUUUUAUUUUAAUUCUUAUGUCUUGGGCUCAAUUGUUAUGUAUAUAGUAGACUAAUCGAUAGUUCAAGGCCUCUUGUUAGUGUUUAGGCCUUGCUUUGUAUACUUUUGCUUAUUUAAUUUUGUAAGUGAAAAAAAAAAGAAAGAAAAGAAAAGAAAAGACAGAAAAGCGUUAUUAAAAAAAAAAAAGAGUUAUUUUUCAAACAUCUUUUCAGGCUUCUUCAAACAAACGAAAGGAAAGUCCUUAUUUUAAUUCAUCCUCAGUUAUAUUGCUAUUUAUCUUGAAUUGCAUCGAUUAACUUUUGUGCUGCAAUCUUUAUAUAAAAAACAUUCACGUGAUUAAACUCUUAGACUUACUAACUUUCAAUUUUGCUAUAUUUUCACUCUUUCCAUAUUUAUUUUAACCGCUUCCGCCAUAUUUAUUUUACAUGUUUAAGUUGUUGACUAGUGUUUGACCCUCGCUUCAUUAUUUUACAUAGAUCAACAGUAUCAACUUGACAUAUUUGAAUUUUCAUAAUCCCAAAAAAAGAAAAAAAAAGGAUGCUGAAGUUGUUAUUUUCCAUUUCUUGAGCUAGUUGUUUGUUGAUCUCGUCAUUUACUGCAUUCAGUUAGUGUUACAUUGCAUGCAUUUGCGUAGUGGUCGUUUUGUCAUACCAAAUUCCAAUACUGUGAUCAUGGACCCUUCUCAAUUUGAUGCCCUUACUCGACAAUUAGCUCAACUACAGGCUCAAUUAGCAACCGUCCAAACCGAGGUAACUGCUACUCGUGAAGAGAGUAGAGAACUAGCUGCUAGGGUGAACAAUUUAGAACAAAACUCCCCCUCAAUCGACGGUGAUAACUCUGAAGCGUCUCAUAACAUACCUUAUCGUUAUCAACAUGGAGGUCGACAGCAUGUUCGUCAUGGGCGAAGGAAUGGGGAACAUGAACGCAAUCAUGAGCGAGACCAUGCUCAUUAUGGUACUCAUUCACCACCUCGCUAUGAGGAGCGUUACUUUCGAAACAUCAAAUUAGACGCUCCUACUUUCGAUGGUUGUUUAGAUCCUAGAGUUUUUACACAAUGGAUUAGAGACAUGGAUCGUUUCUUUUCAUGGUAUGGAGUCCCAGAGGAUCGAAGAGUUCAAUUUGCCAGUUUGAAAUUAACUGGUACUGCCCAACUCUUUUGGGAAAGCGUUGAGGACCUUCUUGAGAGGCGUCAUGCACCUCCCGUUGGAAGUUGGGAGGAAAUGAAGCGCCGCCUUCAAGAGAAGUAUUUGCCCCACUCUUAUAGGAGCAACUUGUUGGACCAGUGGAAUACUCUCACACAAGGAAAUCGUCCAGUAACUGACUAUGUUACCCAAUUUGAUGAGCUCCGAAUGCGAAGCCACAUCGUCGAGGAUGAAGCUAUGACUUUAAGUAGGUUCAGACAGGGCCUAAGAGACGAUCUUCGGCGUGAGCUUGUCCUGCGAGGUGUCACCACUCUCGAUCACGCUUAUUCCUUGGUUCGAGAUUACGAGUCGAUUACUAAGACUUCGUAUGGAAGGCGUAGUGAUAACCGUCCAUCUAUCUCAUCGGCACCUCCUCCUCNNNNNNNNNNNNNNNNNNNNNNNNNNNNNNNNNNNNNNNNNNNNNNNNNNNNNNNNNNNNNNNNNNNAUUUUUUAAAUGAAAAAAAAAAGAAAGAAAAGAAAAGAAAAGACAGAAAAGCGUUAUUAAAAAAAAAAAAGAGUUAUUUUUCAAACAUCUUUUCAGGUACCUCAUUCAUUCAAGUUGAUUGGACGCGACUUCUUCAAACGAACGAAAGAAAAGUCCUUAUUUUAAUUCAUCCUCAGUUAUAUUGCUGUUUAUCUUGAAUUGCAUCGAUUAACUUUUGUACUGCAAUCUUUAUAUAAAAACAUUCAUGUGAUUAAACUCUUAGACCUACUAACUCUCAGUUUUGCUAUAUUUUCACUCUUUCCAUAUUUAUUUUAACCGCUUCCGCCAUAUUUAUUUUACAUGUUUAAGUUGUUGACUAGUGUUUGACCCUCGCUUCAUUAUUUUACAUAGAUCAGCAGUAUCAACUUGACAUAUUUGAAUUUCAUAAUCCAAAAAAAAAAAAAAAAAAAAAAAAAAAAAAAAAAAAAACAUUAAAUUCAACGUGGCGUUUGUGCAAAUCGACUCGAAGUUUAAAUAGUGCAUUACUUGCUUCCAACUGUUUAUUGAUCUCAAUAUGCAAAUCACGCAAAUGUUGUGCAAAAGACUCAGCUGACACAGACACACUAGCAUGUGGAGACAUGGGAAUAAGGUCUAAUGGCUUCCUAGGCUUAAAACCAUGAACAACUUCAAAAGGACUCAUACCUAUAGACCGAUUCACUGAACUGUUAUAUGCAAGUUGGGCAGUAGGAAGAAUUAAGUCCCAAUUCCUAAGAUUUUCUUGGACUAGACACCUUAAUAGAUUACCAGGAUUGCGGUUAACAACUUCAGUUUGACCAUCCGUUUGUGGGUGGUAUGUAGUAGAAAAUUUCAGUUUAGUGCCAACCAUACUCCAUAGGGUUCGCCAAAGAUGACUAGUGAAAUGAACAUCUCUAUCCGAGAUAAUGGUCUUAGGGAGACCAUAUAGCCUGACGAUCUUAUGAUAGUAUAAUUUAGCAACCUUAGAUGCAUCGGAUGUUUUGUUACAGGGAAUAAAGUGUACCAUCUUCGAGAAGCAAUCGACUACAACGAAAAUGGAGUCGUGUUUCUUUGGAGUACGUGGCAACCCUAGCACGAAAUCCAUACUAACGUCUUGCCAAGGACAACUAGGGACGGGGAGAGGAGUGUGGUUGGUAAUGCCUUUUGGACUAACCAAUGCUCCAAGUACCCCCUACUGAAGCCCAAUCCCUCCUUCAAGAAUUUAAGGAUGUAUUUCCUGAGGACCUCCCUGAUUUAUUGCCUCCCUUACGGGAUAUCCAACAUGCUAUAGAUCUGGUUCCAGGUUCGUCUCUCCCAAAUUUGCCUCACUAUAGAAUGAGAGUUCACCCACUUGUCUCUGGAGCUCGGCAUGUUCAGUAGGGUUCAUUCUAUAGUGAGGCAAAUUUGGGAGAGACGAACCUGGAACCAGAUCUAUAGCAUGUUGGAUAUCCCGUAAGGGAGGCAAUAAAUCAGGGAGGUCCUCAGGAAAUACAUCCUUAAAUUCUUGAAGGAGGGAUUGGGCUUCAGUAGGGGUUGCUAGUGGGGAAUCGGACGGGACUUCCAUAACAAACACAGCAAAUACGAUUGAGUCAUUUACGAUUGUCCGUUCAAACUCUGUAGGGCUAAUCACAUGUAAUCCUUUCCUCUCGCCAACCUUUUUGGUUUAGUGUAAGAUCAUAUAUGGUGUGACGUCAUCCCUAUGGAUGUCGGGCAUGUCAUUCUUGGUCGACCUUGGUUGUUCGAUCUACCUCCUCGACGGGGUCGAGUUUUUCUCCCACCCCGGGAGAGUUGAUGCGGACAUCAUCCUCAUCGGGCCACUUGUUGGGCCAUUUUAUCUUCUAUGUACUUAUUUUAGGUUUUAUGUUUUAUUGGGCUUGUAUAUGGGUUUGGCCCAAGCCCAAGUUUAUUAAUUUGGUAUUUAUAUUAUUGUAAUUGGAUUGAAAUGGCAGUUUUGAUGAAAUGAAAUAGAUGUGGUGAUAUCGUUUCUCUCCUCUCCUCCCUUCCUCCUUCAGUUUGUUCUUCCUCUUCUUCUUUUCUCCUUGGCCAAUUCUACAUCAUGAAACAUCCUCAAUUCAUAUACAUAAUUGGAUAUGAAGAAAGCAAUAAUAUUAUUAAAUCAAACAACGCCAAGUUAUAGAGCAAUCAACUAGGAGUGGAAAUCUCAGAAGGGAAAAAAAAUUAGCCUGGUACCAAAAUCUCCAGAGUUGACAGUGACUAACCAACGGUGUUAUUUAACGCAAUUCAUAAUGACCAAU
rnacentral:lncRNA from 1 species